rnacentral:lncRNA from 1 species
GGGAAACUUGUAUUCUCACCUGCAGGCAAAGAUGUCUACUUGUCUAUGUACAAAUAGUAUCUUGGCAGGUUAGGUACUGUGUUUUUUGAUUCUGUUACUUUGAUUCUCCUUGAUGGUAGUAGAGCCCCUUUCUCUGUGGUGUCACUGGAAACCAUAUAGGGAGCAUAGACUUCCAUUCCCUACUCUGGGGUAUGUCAGAAAGCUGAGUAGGAACCACUGAUUUUUACCACCUCUUAGUUGGUAACAAGCCUCACUCCAAAGAAGUAUUAUUGGAGGCCACACGUGUAGUAGAAACAGUCAUAAGCCCCCCUUCUAGCUAGGUGGUAUCAAAGGAGGCUUAGGGCAUUAAUCCUGACAGGAAUUAAUUCAUUGAUAUGGUUAAGACUCUCACAACCCAAUCAUUUCUCCUAUGAACCUUCUUUCAUUGUCUCACAUAUGCGCUUUCAGGGGACAGCACAUCUCAAUCCUAACAGAUGUCAUCUGGUGCUGGCUGGAAAGGGAGAACAUCAAAAUCUAUUUCCAAAAUCUAUUUCCUCCAUAUACAAUAGUUCCCUAUAAUAGAAAAGGAUUAAUCAACAGGGGAAAGGGCUAAGAUGUUUGUAAUAUGAAGAUACUGGUGAAACCCAUUACCGGGGGUGGAAAAAAUGUUUUACCUUGGCUGGGAGGGAAAGGAGUACUUUAUAGAUCCAGCAUUACAGCUGAGAAGGACAAGGGUAGGUAUAUCUGUGGAUUAUAUCCCCAAAACCAAAAUUCACAGUGCCUGCCUAAUAUUGAACGUCAAUCAUAACACAAGACACUCCCCAUGUUCUCUGCCUCAUUUCAAGCCCGUAUUCUAUACUAUAUAUAAUAUAUAAAGAAAAAACAUCAGUAAAGAUAGUUGAAAUCUCUAAAAGACUCAGAUUUUGUCUGCAACAGAACAAAACAAAGCCAAGUAGAGAAACCCAAAGACAAGCAAGAAACAGACUUCUCUAUAGCAAACUGUUGCUCACUGUAAGCAAGAUAUCACUAGGGAAAUGUGAAGAAGCCUGUAGUACAAUGGAGAGGCUACAACAACAACUAAGAUCAAAUAUCCCCAAUCGACUUACUAGAUAACAAUACUUUCAAACUAAAGACCUAGGCGAGAAAGAAAGUAUACUCAUCUCUGGUCCAAAAAAAAUAUUGCUUCCUUAUGCAGUAUGUCUAGUUUUUAAAAGAAAAAAAUAAGGAUGAUUACAGAUAAGCAAGAAAAAGCACAAUCUGAAAGAUUCAGUAAUCAUAAAAACCAAACUGAUAGAUGAUACAGAUGUUGAACCUAUCAGAAACGGCAUUUAAAACAAUUUAAAUUAAUAUUUUAAAUGGUCUAGUAGAAAAGACUGUACAACAUGCAAGAUCAGAUACUCAAAUUCAAUACCAAAUACUGUUAGGUAGCAGUUUUUCAUGAGUAGUGGGGUCAGGGGUUUAAGAAAAUACUUAAUACUGAGCCAAUUAGUUAAUUAACGGCCCUGUCUCAGUGGUACCACAAGGUAUGAUACGAUAACUAUUUAAAUACCCUUUCCUGAUCUCAUAAAUCAUUUUUCUUACAACAGGAGGAAGAUAGAUAAAUGCAUGAGGUAAGAACCCAACGAGAUGGGUAUGCUCACUCAAAAGGACCUAAUUGCUUAGAUCUGCUCAAACAUCAUAGACCAGAAAUUCCAAGACUUGGGAAAGAAGAAUGAUUCUGACCAGAGCUCACUAAGCAUAAAUUCUAUAAAACAAAUUCUAGUUAGAACCUGUCAUCUGGAUCAGGAUGUCCAAGAGUUGCCCUUAGAUUAUUCACAUAUGAUAUUAGUUUUAUGAUAUCACAGUAAGUUAUAGCUUUUCUCUCCCUCCUUAUGGGUUUCUCUUAAAUACCUAUGAGCUACAGAACAUGUAGUAAAGGCUUGGAAAUCUAACGCAGUCAGUCAAUCCAGAACUGAGAGGUAAUACUCACAGCACCCUCUGAAAACUUCCCCUAAAAACCGCAAUAAAACUAAAGAACAAAGGAGAAAAUCAUUGCUCUCCUCUUCAAGAUGAUCUACCCUGUCCCUUGGGGGUGACUUGUGUGCCUUCUUUCUUAAUAAAUUUUGCUACACUUUUACUACAUGACAUGUCUUACUUGAAAUCAUCUCCUGCAAAAACACAAAAGCCAAGAAAAUGAUGCAAAUCUCUGUUAAUAAUACUUCCAGCAUAACCACCCAAUACAGAAAGAGGUUGUCGGUGGCUAUCCUCAUGUGUCUACA